CNAUAAAUAACGAUGCAGAACUCUUUCGAAGGCUNUGCAAUCGGAAUGGGUACACUCUAAACACUUUAACGAGUAUCCACUGAAGGGCAAGUCUGGUGCCAGCAGCCGCGGUAAUUCCAGCUCCAGUAGCGUAUAUUAAAGUUGUUGCGGUUAAAAAGCUCGUAGUUGGAUCUGUGUUUCGAGCCGUCGGUUCGCUGCCCGUCAGCGUUUAACUGACGCGUCUUCGAAACGUCCUGCCGGUUGGCGGUCGGUCGCGCAUCCAGCCUCGUCGGCCGAAAGGUCGGCGGGACAUUAAGCGGUGGUCAAGCGACGCGCCAGUGUCCGUCACCCGUUCCCGAUGCUCUUUACUGAGUGUCGAGGCGGGCCGGCACGUUUACUUUGAAUCAAACUGGGUGCUCAAGGCAGGCAAAUUAAUUUACCGCCCGAAAGAACUUGCAUGGAAUAAUGGAAUAGGACCUCGGUUCUAUUUUGUUGGUUUUCGGAACCCCGAGGUAAUGAUAAAUGGGGACUGACGGGGGCAUUAGUAUUGCGGCGUUAGAGGUGAAAUUCUUGGAUCGUCGCAAGACUACCUAAAGCGAAAGCAUUUGCCAAGGAUGUUUUCAUUAAUCAAGAACGAAAGUUAGAGGUUCGAAGGCGAUCAGAUACCGCCCUAGUUCUAACCAUAAACGAUGCCAGCCAGCGAUCCGCGGUGGUUCGUUUGAAAUGACCCCGCGGGCAGCCUCCGGGAAACCAGAGCUUUUGGGUUCCGGGGGUAGUAUGGUUGCAAAGCUGAAACUUAAAGGAAUUGACGGAAGGGCACCCCCAGGAGUGGAGCUUGCGGCUUAAUUUGACUCAACACGGGAAACCUCACCAGGCCCGGACACCGAAAGGAUUGNCAGAUCGAUAGCUCUCUCUUGAUUCAGUGGNUGGUGGUGCAUGCCG
rnacentral:rRNA from 1 species